GACGAACGCUGGCGGCGUGCUUAACACAUGCAAGUCGAACGGAAAGGCCCUGCUUUUGUGGGGUGCUCGAGUGGCGAACGGGUGAGUAACACGUGAGUAACCUGCCCUUGACUUUGGGAUAACUUCAGGAAACUGGGGCUAAUACCGGAUAGGAGCUCCUGCUGCAUGGUGGGGGUUGGAAAGUUUCGGCGGUUGGGGAUGGACUCGCGGCUUAUCAGCUUGUUGGUGGGGUAGUGGCUUACCAAGGCUUUGACGGGUAGCCGGCCUGAGAGGGUGACCGGCCACAUUGGGACUGAGAUACGGCCCAGACUCCUACUGGAGGCAGCAGUGGGGAAUAUUGCACAAUGGGCGGAAGCCUGAUGCAGCAACGCCGCGUGCGGGAUGACGGCCUUCGGGUUGUAAACCGCUUUCGCCUGUGACGAAGCGUGAGUGACGGUAAUGGGUAAAGAAGCACCAGCUAACUACGUG
rnacentral:rRNA from 1 species